GAUUUGACUGACUCUUCAGUAGAAGAAAAUAUUCUGAAACUGUUAGAAUCUGCUCUAGCUGAUGGAGGAUUCACGAACUUGACACUACGUUGGUUUCAAUCCCCUAAACGGGUAGUGAUGCGGAAGACCAACACUACUAGUUAUUGUGGUAAAAGAAAAUAAUUGGAAGUCUUUGACGCACUAAAUUCAUUAUGUAGAAAGGUAAUGAUUCUGAUUAUAAAUAUAGUGACUGAAAUUUCAUCAUAAUACUGUGUUUAUGAUGUGAAAUUAGAUUCUGCUAAUUUCUGUUUCUUUCGAAUAAAUGUCAGGAAGUAUAAAAACAUCUUGUCUACCUGUAUAUUGUCAACAAAUAGAGAUGGCAACAUGUAUAAUGAAAAUAAUUAAAUUCAUUUAUAUUCAGACAAUG